rnacentral:rRNA from 1 species
AACGAACGCUGGCGGCACGUUUUAAGCAUGCAAGUCGAAUGGCAGCAGGGGCAACUCUGUGAGAAUGGCGAACGGGUGAGUAACACGUAGGUGAUCUGCCUUGAGGAUGGGGAUAGCCUGUGGAAACACAGGGUAAUACCGAAUAAGCUGACGGGACUUCGGUUUCGUUAGUAAAGGUGCUACGGCACCGCCUCGCGCGGAGCCUGCCGCUGAUUAGCUAGUUGGUGGGGUAAAGGCUUACCAAGGCGACGAUCAGUAGCCGGCCUGAGAGGGUGUACGGCCACACUGGGACUGAGACACGGCCCAGACUCCUACGGGAGGCAGCAGCUAAGAAUCUUCCGCAAUGGGCGAAAGCCUGACGGAGCGAUGCCGCGUGAUCGAUGAAGGUCGAGAGAUUGUAAAGAUCUUUUCUACAUGAGGAAUAAGUCUGGGAGGGAAUGCCUGGAUGAUGACGUUAGUGUAGGAAUAAGCCCCGGCUAAUUACGUGCCAGCCGCCGCAGUAA